rnacentral:rRNA from 1 species
AGAUACCGUCCUAGUUCUGACCAUAAACGAUGCCAACUGACGAUCCGUGGUGGUAGUUCUCUAACCUUCCCCACGGGCAGUCCCCGGGAAACCUUUAAGUCUAUGGGUUCCGGGGGAAGUAUGGUUGCAAAGCUGAAACUUAAAGGAAUUGACGGAAGGGCACCACCAGGAAUGGAGCCUGCGGCUUAAUUUGACUCAACACGGGAAAACUCACCCGGGCCGGACACUAUGAGGAUUGACAGAUUGAUAGCUCUUUCUUGAUUUGGUGGUUGGUGGUGCAUGGCCGUUCUUAGUUGGUGGAGCGAUUUGUCUGGUUAAUUCCGAUAACGAACGAGACUCCAGCCUGCUAAUUAGUGCAUUUGUCCACUGUACCUGUGUGGGCGGCAUUGGAUAUGAGUGCUGAUGGUAGUGUUUACGGGCCUGUGUGCACGCGCGCCUCGUGUGUCGCGUGGAGGGGUUUUGCGAAUGCGUAAAACCAUUCGGCGGUCAGUCUGGUGUUAGCCCCCGGGUGCGGCGCGAAUGCUUACUUCUUAGAGGGACAAAUGGGAGAAGCCAUACGAAAUAGAGCAAUAACAGGUCUGUGAUGCCCUUAGAUGUUCGGGGCCGCACGCGCGCUACAAUGGCGGUGUCAACGAGUCAGACCUUCUGGCCCGAAAGGGUUGGGUAAACUGGUCAAUCACCGUCAUGACAGGGAUCGGGGCUUGGAAUUAUUCCCCGUGAACGAGGAAUUCCUAGUAAGUGCAAGUCAUAAGCUUGCGCUGAUUACGUCCCUG